GAUGAAUGCUGGCGGCGUGCCUAACACAUGCAAGUCGAGCGGCAGCGAGUUUUCCACUGAAUUCUGGAAGCUUCUGAGUAGUACAGAAGAUUUAUUCAAGAGUUUUGUGUAAAAUGUCGGCGAGCGGCGGACGGCUGAGUAACGCGUAGGAAUUUGCCCCCAAGUGAGGAAUAACUGCCCGAAAGGGUAGCUAAUGCCGCAUAUGGUCUUCGGAUUAAAGCCUUCGGGCGCUUUGGGAGAAGCCUGCGUUGGAUUAGGUAGUUGGUAGGGUAAUGGCCUACCAAGCCGACGAUCCAUAGCUGGUCGGAGAGGAUGAUCAGCCAGACUGGAACUGAGACACGGUCCAGACUCCUACGGGAGGCAGCAGUGAGGAAUCUUCCACAAUGGGCGAAAGCCUGAUGGAGCAACGCCGCGUGAAGGAUGAAGGCCUUCGGGUUGUAAACUUCUUUUAUGAGUGAAGAAUAUGACGGUAACUCAUGAAUAAGCACCGGCUAACUACGUG
rnacentral:rRNA from 1 species